GAUUGAACCCAGGAGAACCCAAUUUAGGAGAGGAGAGGAGCAGGAAUAACCUAUAUGUGGCAGGCUGCUUUAUGGCAGCCUCUACUUUUGUUCUGUAUUUCAAGGACGGAUUCAGUUUUUCCAAAGAUGUUCAACUCCAAAAUCCUUGGUGAGUAGUGUAGCUUUUAUUAACAUUUUCACAGUGCUAUGGUUUGGGUAUAGUUUUAUCACAGCCCCCCACCCAACAAGGUUCAGAUGAUGGAAGUUUGGUUGCUAGUGUAACAGUAUUGAAUGGUGGAAGGCUUUGGGAGGUUAUUGGGUCAUGACUGUUCUCAAAAAGGGAUUAAUGCUGGUCUUGUGGAGUGGAUUAGGCCUGGUAAGAAUGGAUUAGUUCCCAGGAGAAGUAGUUGUUAUAAAAGAGUAAGUCUGGCCCUCCCUGGUCUCUUGUUUCCUCUCUGGACAUAUGACCUCUCAUUCAUUGGCAUAUGUCACUUGUCACUCUGAAGCCAGCAUUAAAGACCGGCAGUUUAGUCUAGAUAGGUAAAUCAGGUUGGGUCAAAAAAACUGUAGGCGGAUGGAGACCUGCCCCUGAAGGAUUGAAAUGCUAAUGCCUUCAGAGCCCUUCCUCCAACCUUAUCAAGAUAACCUGCUCCUUCUCUAAUGGGUUGUUAAAGCAACCAGUCCCAGGGAUCUUCUCUCCCAACAGGGAGUUAAUGCACCUUGGGCCCCACUUCCUGCCCUGCAUCACUGCACCUUAGCUCCUCCAGCCCAUCUGCUUCUCAUAUUUUGGUCAUCCCACCAGAGCAUUUCCUGGGCCUAAUCACGUAAGCAGGAAGGAGAGAGAUAAGGAGUAGAGAGCAAAAGAACAAAGGAAGCCUGGGACAUAUAAAAAAGGCAGAAAGCUUUUACUUCUUGGGAUACCAGGAUACCAGCUAUGGCUGCCUUCUCUCUCCCAGGAGAAGUCAUGUUACCCCUUUUUAAAUGAACCCUGCUGUAUAUGCUUGCUUCUCUAAUGUUAUACUUCAACAUAUGAGGAAGCAGAACUUGUCACUGGUAACCCGUGGUAUCAACUCUCUCACACUCUUCUGUUAUAUGGUGCCAUCACCAUAUUAUGAUAUACCCAGAAGGUCCUCACCACAGACCAGACAGAAGGGACUGUCUGAUCUUGGACUUUCAGUCUCUAACACGGAGGCCUAGGAUCUUGCAGAAACUCAUUUCCCAUUGCAACCUCUUUACAGCAUUGGCAACUGCUGUGCACUAGCUCAUCAACUGAAUCAUAUGCUGAGUAAAAGGACAAAGAGCCAGAAAUGCUCUCUAAUAGAUUUUCUCUUGGAGAAUAGAGUGGAAGUCCUUCCCUUCCAUGAAAACUUGAAGAAUGAAGUACUAAGCAACUUCUAAUAUAUUUAAACAUUUGAAAGCAAGAGUUAUAAAUGUAGCUUAAUGACACAGUGUUUGUCUAGUAAGCAUGAGGCCCUGUGUUCAAUCUCCAGCACUGUCAAAAUAAAAUAAAAAUAUAAGCAGUGUGGUAUUCCACU
rnacentral:lncRNA from 1 species